GGGGUUGUGGCUCAGUGGUAGAGCACUCACCUAGCAUGUGCAAGCACUGGAUUCGAUCCUCAGAACCCCA
rnacentral:tRNA from 1 species